rnacentral:rRNA from 1 species
UAUACAUGCAAGUCGAACGAACUCUGCGUGAUUGAUUGGUGCUUGCAUCAUGAUUUACAUUUGAGUGAGUGGCGAACUGGUGAGUAACACGUGGGAAACCUGCCCAGAAGCGGGGGAUAACACCUGGAAACAGAUGCUAAUACCGCAUAACAACUUGGACCGCAUGGUCCGAGCUUGAAAGAUGGCUUCGGCUAUCACUUUUGGAUGGUCCCGCGGCGUAUUAGCUAGAUGGUGGGGUAACGGCUCACCAUGGCAAUGAUACGUAGCCGACCUGAGAGGGUAAUCGGCCACAUUGGGACUGAGACACGGCCCAAACUCCUACGGGAGGCAGCAGUAGGGAAUCUUCCACAAUGGACGAAAGUCUGAUGGAGCAACGCCGCGUGAGUGAAGAAGGGUUUCGGCUCGUAAAACUCUGUUGUUAAAGAAGAACAUAUCUGAGAGUAACUGUUCAGGUAUUGACGGUAUUUAACCAGAAAGCCACGGCUAACUACGUGCCAGCAGCCGCGGUAAUACGUAGGUGGCAAGCGUUGUCCGGAUUUAUUGGGCGUAAAGCGAGCGCAGGCGGUUUUUUAAGUCUGAUGUGAAAGCCUUCGGCUCAACCGAAGAAGUGCAUCGGAAACUGGGAAACUUGAGUGCAGAAGAGGACAGUGGAACUCCAUGUGUAGCGGUGAAAUGCGUAGAUAUAUGGAAGAACACCAGUGGCGAAGGCGGCUGUCUGGUCUGUAACUGACGCUGAGGCUCGAAAGUAUGGGUAGCAAACAGGAUUAGAUACCCUGGUAGUCCAUACCGUAAACGAUGAAUGCUAAGUGUUGGAGGGUUUCCGCCCUUCAGUGCUGCAGCUAACGCAUUAAGCAUUCCGCCUGGGGAGUACGGCCGCAAGGCUGAAACUCAAAGGAAUUGACGGGGGCCCGCACAAGCGGUGGAGCAUGUGGUUUAAUUCGAAGCUACGUAGCUACGCGAAGAACCUUACCAGGUCUUGACAUACUAUGCAAAUCUAAGAGAUUAGACGUUCCCUUCGGGGACAUGGAUACAGGUGGUGCAUGGUUGUCGUCAGCUCGUGUCGUGAGAUGUUGGGUUAAGUCCCGCAACGAGCGCAACCCUUAUUAUCAGUUGCCAGCAUUAAGUUGGGCACUCUGGUGAGACUGCCGGUGACAAACCGGAGGAAGGUGGGGAUGACGUCAAAUCAUCAUGCCCCUUAUGACCUGGGCUACACACGUGCUACAAUGGAUGGUACAACGAGUUGCGAACUCGCGAGAGUAAGCUAAUCUCUUAAAGCCAUUCUCAGUUCGGAUUGUAGGCUGCAACUCGCCUACAUGAAGUUGGAAUCGCUAGUAAUCGCGGAUCAGCAUGCCGCGGUGAAUACGUUCCCGGGCCUUGUACACACCGCCCGUCACACCAUGAGAGUUUGUAACACCCAAAGUCGGUGAGGGU